AGAAGAAGAAGAAAUAAGUUUCCCCUUCUUAGACAAGGAGGGGAUUGAAGGGGUGGUUAGAAAAUAAAAUAUGAACACACGAAAUAUUAAAUCAUCAAACCACCCCCCAUCCUCCUGCUUAGAUAAGGAGGGGGACAAUCUGGAGUUCUGGCAGAAAGCUAGAGCAGAAACGCCUGGCUGCAAAAAUGUUUUGCAUUUUAACAAUGCUGGCGCUGCAUUAAUGCCUCAACCGGUAAUAAAUAAAGUAAUGGAUCAUAUCCGUCUUGAAUCUGAAAUUGGUGGAUAUGAAGCAGCUGAAAGAAAACAAAAGGAUACGGAACGGCUUUAUAAAGCAGCA
rnacentral:misc_RNA from 1 species